rnacentral:rRNA from 1 species
UACGUAGGGUGCGAGCGUUGUCCGGAAUUAUUGGGCGUAAAGGGCUCGUAGGCGGUUUGUCGCGUCGGGAGUGAAAACCUCGGGCUUAACUCGGGGCUUGCUUUCGAUACGGGCAGACUGGAGGUAUGCAGGGGAGAACGGAAUUCCUGGUGUAGCGGUGAAAUGCGCAGAUAUCAGGAGGAACACCGGUGGCGAAGGCGGUUCUCUGGGCAUGACCUGACGCUGAGGCGCGAAAGCCAGGGUAGCGAACGGG